GGCUCAGGGCUGAGGCAGCAUGGUAGAAAGCUGACCUAACUUGCACUUCUCUGGGCUUUGAAGUAGCUUGUGUUCCUGACACCAGGCACAAAGACUCCAGAAGGCAGAACCAAUCUGUCUGGACACAGAACCCAGAUCCGUGAGUUCCCAAAGGAAGGAUGAAGGCCAGGGGAACCUUGAGAAAAUGCAGGGUGCAUGGGAGGCCAUCGUAAACAUCAGAGAUCACCAAGAUACUGAUGGCAUCCUACUCAGAUGAGUCUGUAUUUAACAGAUUUUCUGGUGCCAGGAUCCCUCGCCUGUAAAAGUAAAAGUGGGACAAAACCGUGCCAAUGUAACAGCCUCCUUCCCAGUUUAUACACGUGCUGCCAGAGCAACAGCACCAUCUAUGGGUGGACAAAGGAGCUUUAUUCAUCAACCAAUAAAAGCAGCACGUAUUCACAGUGUACAGAAGGACAUCCCGAAUCAGCCAGGUGUUAGAUAAGCUAACGCCACUUGGAGAGAAGAGAAACUCAAUUCUGCCCAACAUCAAGACAACAUUGUACACUGCUGAGAGAGGCUGAACACACUAUACUUGAGCCAAGAGGACACCCACUGACAAAAGACCCACUACGGAACCUGAUGGAAAACACAGAACGUAGCUGACCAGACAAACAGGCCAGAAGAGGGCAUCAGAUCUGAUCUCAUUUCAGAUGGUU